rnacentral:rRNA from 1 species
GAGAAUCUUUCACAAUGGGGGCAACCCUGAUGGAGCGACGCCGCGUGGAGGAUAAGGUCUUCGGAUUGUAAACUCCUGUCAUGCGUGAACAAGGUUGCAGGGAUAAUACCUUUGCAAAUUGAUGGUAACGCAAGAGGAAGAGACGGCUAACUCUGUGCCAGCAGCCGCGGUAAUACAGAGGUCUCAAGCGUUGUUCGGAAUCACUGGGCGUAAAGGGUGCGUAGGUGGCGUGGUAAGUCAGAUGUGAAAGCCCGGGGCUCAACCUCGGAACUGCAUCCGAUACUACCAUGCUGGAGUACUGAAGAGGUGACUAGAAUUCUCGGUGUAGCAGUGAAAUGCGUAGAUAUCGAGAGGAAUACCAAAGGCGAAGGCAGGUCACUGGGCAGUUACUGACACUGAGGCACGAAGGCCAGGGGAGCAAA